CAGGUGCAGCUGGUGCAGUCUGGGCCUGAGGUGAAGAAGCCUGGGACCUCAGUGAAGGUCUCCUGCAAGGCUUCUGGAUUCACCUUUACUAGCUCUGCUGUGCAGUGGGUGCGACAGGCUCGUGGACAACGCCUUGAGUGGAUAGGAUGGAUCGUCGUUGGCAGUGGUAACACAAACUACGCACAGAAGUUCCAGGAAAGAGUCACCAUUACCAGGGACAUGUCCACAAGCACAGCCUACAUGGAGCUGAGCAGCCUGAGAUCCGAGGACACGGCCGUGUAUUACUGUGCGAUGAUGCUUUUGAUAUCUGGGGCCAAGGGACAAUGGUCACCGUCUCUUCA
rnacentral:lncRNA from 1 species